GUCCAUCUGAGGAGUCCCAAAUAGGAUGGAACGAGCGUCCUGGAU
rnacentral:hammerhead_ribozyme from 1 species